GUUUCCUUUUUGAUUGGAGCUCCCCGCAUAUCAGCUUUGAAAUCAUCCAUUCUACAAUGUAUUAGAGGUAGUUGGAACCUGCUACUUUCACUAAUUUGGAUUCACUUAGAGAGAAGAGAUUGGCUGGUAACAUAUCCCUUGCCCUUGCUGCUUUUCCCUCACCUGCUCCUCUUCUAGGUCGUGUAAAGUGGAGGAACUGAGUAGGAACUGGCAAGACAUUCAUCAUGAGCAACGUGGGAAAUACUUCAGAUCACUAAGGAAGGAAACUUGAGUGUGAUACACUGAGAUUUGACUGGACAGAAAAUUAAAGCUUUUUUUUUUUUCACUGUAUGUACUACUUUGCUGGUGAUAACUAUUGACAGAUAAGAGAUAUUUUAGAGUUGGAUCCAGCCAGUUUAUCAUCUGGUUUGCGAAGUCCUCAUAUGCUAAUUGUUUUCUAAUGAUUUUAAUUUCAGUGGUGCUCCAGGCCACUGGACGUAGUCCUCUGGCAUUUUUCUUCAAAACUGCCCCUCUCCUCCAAUAGAAUUUAUCUACUAAUAAACUUGAGAUUGAUUAUUAAACAUAUCUCACUUUCUUCUUUAACUGAAAGGAGUAAGUAAUCC
rnacentral:lncRNA from 1 species